UACGUAGGGUGCAAGCGUUGUCCGGAAUUAUUGGGCGUAAAGAGCUCGUAGGCGGUUAGUCGCGUCUGCUGUGAAAACUCGGGGCUUAACUCCGGGCCUGCAGUGGGUACGGGCUGACUAGAGUGCGGUAGGGGAGACUGGAAUUCCUGGUGUAGCGGUGAAAUGCGCAGAUAUCGAGAGGAACACCUGCGGCGAAGGCGGGUUGCUGGGCUGACACUGACGCUGAUGCGCGAAAGCUAGGGGAGCGAACGGG
rnacentral:rRNA from 1 species